rnacentral:rRNA from 1 species
UACGUAGGGUGCAAGCGUUGUCCGGAAUUAUUGGGGCGUAAAGAGCUCGUAGGCGGUUUGUCGCGUCUGCUGUGAAAACCCGAGGCUCAACCUCGGGCCUGCAGUGGGUACGGGCAGACUAGAGUGCGGUAGGGGAGAUUGGAAUUCCUGGUGUAGCGGUGAAAUGCGCAGAUAUCAGGAGGAACACCAAUGGCGAAGGCAGCACUCUGGGACGGUACUGACGCUGAGACGCGAAAGCGUGGGGAGCGAACAGGAUUAG